GGGGGGGGGGGGGGGGGGGCGGAGCCCGGGCGGGUCGGGCGGGCGCGUCGGGGUUGGGGGCGGGCGGGGGCGUAACGCGUGAGAAUCUGGCUUUGGGUUCGGGGCAACCACUGGAAACGGUGGCUAAUCCCGGCUGUGCCGCGAGGUCCAAGAGAACUUGCCUGAAGAUGAGCCCGCGUCUGAUUAGCUAGUUGGUGAGGUAACGGCUCACCAAGGCAGCGAUCAGUAGCUGGUCUGAGAGGAUGACCAGCCACACUGGGACUGAGACACGGCCCAGACUCCUACGGGAGGCAGCAGUGGGGAAUUUUCCGCAAUGGGCGAAAGCCUGACGGAGCAAUACCGCGUGAGGGAAGAAGGCGCUUGGGUUGUAAACCUCUUUUCGUAGGGAAGAACAAAAUGACGGUACCUAAGGAAUCAGCAUCGGCUAACUCCGU
rnacentral:rRNA from 1 species